rnacentral:rRNA from 1 species
GCUAGCUACAGGCUUAACACAUGCAAGUCGAGGGGCAGCAUGGUCUUAGCUUGCUAAGGCCGAUGGCGACCGGCGCACGGGUGAGUAACACGUAUCCAACCUGCCGUCUACUCUUGGACAGCCUUCUGAAAGGAAGAUUAAUACAAGAUGGCAUCAUGAGUCCGCAUGUUCACAUGAUUAAAGGUAUUCCGGUAGACGAUGGGGAUGCGUUCCAUUAGAUAGUAGGCGGGGUAACGGCCCACCUAGUCUUCGAUGGAUAGGGGUUCUGAGAGGAAGGUCCCCCACAUUGGAACUGAGACACGGUCCAAACUCCUACGGGAGGCAGCAGUGAGGAAUAUUGGUCAAUGGGCGAGAGCCUGAACCAGCCAAGUAGCGUGAAGGAUGACUGCCCUAUGGGUUGUAAACUUCUUUUAUAAAGGAAUAAAGUCGGGUAUGGAUACCCGUUUGCAUGUACUUUAUGAAUAAGGAUCGGCUAACUCCGUGCCAGCAGCCGCGGUAAUACGGAGGAUCCGAGCGUUAUCCGGAUUUAUUGGGUUUAAAGGGAGCGUAGAUGGAUGUUUAAGUCAGUUGUGAAAGUUUGCGGCUCAACCGUAAAAUUGCAGUUGAUACUGGAUAUCUUGAGUGCAGUUGAGGCAGGCGGAAUUCGUGGUGUAGCGGUGAAAUGCUUAGAUAUCACGAAGAACUCCGAUUGCGAAGGCAGCCUGCUAAGCUGCAACUGACAUUGAGGCUCGAAAGUGUGGGUAUCAAACAGGAUUAGAUACCCUGGUAGUCCACACGGUAAACGAUGAAUACUCGCUGUUUGCGAUAUACGGCAAGCGGCCAAGCGAAAGCGUUAAGUAUUCCACCUGGGGAGUACGCCGGCAACGGUGAAACUCAAAGGAAUUGACGGGGGCCCGCACAAGCGGAGGAACAUGUGGUUUAAUUCGAUGAUACGCGAGGAACCUUACCCGGGCUUAAAUUGCAGAUGAAUUACGGUGAAAGCCGUAAGCCGCAAGGCAUCUGUGAAGGUGCUGCAUGGUUGUCGUCAGCUCGUGCCGUGAGGUGUCGGCUUAAGUGCCAUAACGAGCGCAACCCUUGUUGUCAGUUACUAACAGGUUCUGCUGAGGACUCUGACAAGACUGCCAUCGUAAGAUGUGAGGAAGGUGGGGAUGACGUCAAAUCAGCACGGCCCUUACGUCCGGGGCUACACACGUGUUACAAUGGGGGGUACAGAGGGCCGCUACCACGCGAGUGGAUGCCAAUCCCCAAAACCUCUCUUAGUUCGGACUGGAGUCUGCAACCCGACUCCACGAAGCUGGAUUCGCUAGUAAUCGCGCAUCAGCCACGGCGCGGUGAAUACGUUCCCGGGCCUUGUACACACCGCCCGUCAAGCCAUGGGAGCCGGGGGUACCUGAAGUGCGUAACCGCGAGGAGCGCCCUAGGGUAAAACUGGUGACUGGGGCUA